CUCCAUAGCAACAAGCCCAGCUCUGGCUGGAGCAUAUAACACCCUGGGACUGCAGCCACCAGCAGCUCACCCACAAGAGAGGUGAACUCAACUAAGAUGUUGAGGUUCUGAGGUCUGGGGGUGCCCAAACUCAUAAAUGGGGGGCAUCUUUCAAUCCACACAGUAUCUUGUUUCCUGGCAUUAUAUAUAUUAACGGACACUUCUGACUACUCCAUACCAGAGUGAAUCAGGAGCCAAAUUCCAUUUAGGAAAUUGAAGGAUCUCAUGACCUAGAAAUCUGGGAGAAGGAUGUGACACCCCGAGUGAACUGUCUGCAGCUCCCACUCCUGUCUACCACUGCUGUCCUUGACAUGGAUGACAGCAUCGGCCUAGUCUCUCUUGCCUCCUCUCCUUCUCACCUGCUCCUCAGUUUCAAGCACCUUCUAGCACCUUUCAUCCUUAAUGGCAUGUCUUCCCAAAGCUUAUUUCUGGAAACAGAGAAGAAGAGACAGAGUUCAACUUGAGCCCAAUAAAUCUCAGCCAAA